rnacentral:tRNA from 1 species
GGGGAUAUAGCUCAGUUGGUAGAGUGCUUGCCUGGCCUGCACAGGGACCUGGGUUCAAUCCCCAGUACCA